UCUGCAACUCGACUACAUGAAGCUGGAAUCGCUAGUAAUCGCGAAUCAGAAUGUCGCGGUGAAUACGUUCCCGGGUCUUGUACACACCGCCCGUCACACCAUGGGAGUCAGUAACGCCCGAAGCCGGUGACCCAACCAAACGGAGGGAGCCGUCGAAGGUGGGACCGAUAACUGGGGUGAAGUCGUAACAAGGUACC
rnacentral:rRNA from 1 species